rnacentral:ncRNA from 2 species
GACGAUUGCUAGGGGAGCUCUUAUGAGCUGAGAAAGGAAUAUCCUUGACUCUUUGAACCUGUUUGGUUAGUACCAGCGUAGGGAAGCGAGCGUGUAUACUU